UGGGGAAUAUUGGACAAUGGGCGCAAGCCUGAUCCAGCCAUGCCGCGUGUGCGAAGAAGGCCUUCGGGUUGUAAAGCACUUUCAGCGAGGAGGAAGGGAGUUGUGUUAAUAGCACAGCUUCUUGACGUUACUCGCAGAAGAAGCACCGGCUAACUCUGUGCCAGCAGCCGCGGUAAUACAGAGGGUGCAAGCGUUAAUCGGAAUUACUGGGCGUAAAGCGCACGUAGGCGGUUUUUAAGUCAGAUGUGAAAGCCCCGGGCUCAACCUGGGAAUUGCAUUUGAAACUGGAAAACUAGAGUGUGUGAGAGGGGGGUAGAAUUCCAAGUGUAGCGGUGAAAUGCGUAGAGAUUUGGAGGAAUACCAGUGGCGAAGGCGGCCCCCUGGCACAACACUGACGCUCAGGUGCGAAAGCGUGGGGAGCAAACAGGAUUAGAUACCCCGGUAGUCCCUGAGCGGGCUGGCAAGGCGCAU
rnacentral:rRNA from 1 species